CGACCGCUGGCGGCGUGCUUACCACAUGCACGUCGCCCGGCAAGGCCCUGCUUGCAGGGUACUCGAGUGGCGAACGGGUGAGUAACACGUGGGUGAUCUGCCCUGCACUUCGGGAUAAGCCUGGGAAACUGGGUCUAAUACCGGAUAUGACCUUCCAUGUAGUGUGGGGGGUGGAAAGAUUUAUCGGUGUAGGAUGAGCCCGCGGCCUAUCAGCUUGUUGGUGGGGUAAUGGCCUACCAAGGCGUCGACGGGUAGCCGGCCUGAGAGGGUGGACGGCCACAUUGGGACUGAGAUACGGCCCAGACUCCUACGGGAGGCAGCAGUGGGGAAUAUUGCACAAUGGGCGGAAGCCUGAUGCAGCGACGCCGCGUGGGGGAUGACGGCCUUCGGGUUGUAAACCUCUUUCGACAGGGACGAAGCUUCGGUGACGGUACCUGUAUAAGAAGCACCGGCUAACUACGUG
rnacentral:rRNA from 1 species